GACGAGGUGGCCGAGCGGUCUAAGGCGCUAGAUUCAGGACUAUCCGGUGUUCCGGAGGAAAUGUUCUAGUCCGUAAGGGCGUGGGUUCAAAUCCCAUCCUCGUCA
rnacentral:tRNA from 1 species